ensembl:snRNA U6 U6 spliceosomal RNA
GUGCUCGGUUCAGCAGUACAUAUACUAAAAUUGGAAUGAUAUGAAGAUUAGCAUGGCCCCUGCACAAGGAUGACAUGCAAAUUAGUGAAGGAUUCCAUAUAAAA